rnacentral:pre_miRNA from 1 species
UCACCUUGUCCUCACGGUCCAGUUUUCCCAGGAAUCCCUUAGAUGCUAAGAUGGGGAUUCCUGGAAAUACUGUUCUUGAGGUCAUGGUU